UACGUAGGGUGCGAGCGUUAAUCGGAAUUACUGGGCGUAAAGCGUGCGCAGGCGGUUUUGUAAGCCAGAUGUGAAAUCCCCGGGCUUAACCUGGGAAUGGCAUUUGGGACUGCAAGGCUUGAGUGCGGCAGAGGAGACUAGAAUUCCUGGUGUAGCAGUGAAAUGCGUAGAUAUCAGGAGGAAUACCGAUGGCGAAGGCGGCAUUCUGGACCGACAUUGACGCUGAGGCGCGAAAGCCAGGGGAGCAAACGGG
rnacentral:rRNA from 1 species